GUGUGGGGAGUCCAUCAGUUCCGCCUCGCGCCGCCCGCAGCCGUUGCAAGAGGCGCCGCACGCGGGAGAGCUGAACAGCAGCCAUUUGAAGUUGACAACAGCCGCUAUGCCCAGACGUGUUCGGAUCUCGGCUAUGAUGUCACAAUGGGAUUUUAGCCCUGUUCGCAACGUUGUUGCUAUCCAAGUACACCGAGUCCUGUUAGCCCUGAUGAGAGAAUUGUGGAACUGUGGGACAAUGUUGAUGUGGAGAUCUGAUUUCUCCACGGAGCAAAAGACUUUGGCAGAGACAGUGAAUCUUGACCUGAAACGUCACCCACUCCUUCUCGCCAGAGAUGCUGCCUGUCCCGCUGAGUUACUCCAGCAUUUUGUGUCCAUCUUUGGUGUAAACCAACAUCUGCAGUUGCUUCCUACAUAAGUUCCCAUGACCAUUAAUUGUAAUAAAAAUAAUGAUUAUGAACAAAAUAGUUUUGAGAUUUUAUUAUAAAAUGCACACUGAGAAUGACCAAUUUUUUCAGUGUGUGUGAUCUGAGGAGCGAUUUUUCUGCCUUUGAUGAUUCAUUGAAAAGCCCCCUGCAGUGUAUUUGAUGAACUACAUCUCGAGAUGAUUAAAAAAUUAAUUACAUUUUCUUCAGUUAUAUCACAAAUCAAAUGCAUUGGGCUUUGGCUCGACAUCCCACUCCAGGCAGAUGUCUGUCUGGCACUGGAGGAGCUGAACGCAGUGGUCAACGAACACCAGACAUCUUACCCCGAAGCAUUUCCCACCAUUGCUGGGGACUUCAAUAAGGCAAAUCUCAAGAAAUCACUCCCUAACUUCCACCAACAUGUCUCGUGUUGCACCAGAGGACCAAACACCCUCGACCACUGCUACACCACCAUCAAGAAUGCCUAUCGUUCUAUCCCUCGCCAUCACUUCGGUA